AUGUCUGCUCAGCUGCGGCCGCUGCGCAGCGUCACUGCGGAGAUUCGGUGUUUUGGAAGUGAAGAGGAGGGUGGGGAGCUUGGGAUCCCUACCCUGGAGCUCGACUUUGCGUACCCCAGGUCCAUGAGGGACCCGGAAACACCGCAGCGCCGGGUAUGGGGGUUGUGGCGGGAGGUGUGGGCUCCUGCGCGAACUCAGCCAGAUGUUCGGGGUGGCUCCAGAUGUGCCGCGGGGCAGGGGUCAGGUCUCUCCUCCUCCCCAACCCCCAUCCUGGAACUCAGGUCUGUAAACAAACUCGGUUUUUGCCUUACCCCGGUUGCCUUUGGAAGUUCUCAAAACAAAGGCAUCCGUCCCCCAUCCUCCAAUUUGGUAGGAGCUGCCGAAUUUCUCUGCCUUUUGCUACCCUCUCCCGCCUCGCACACACUCCCUUUGCCGAGGGAUCCAAGUCCCCCACCCCCGGGAUGGCUCGGGCAUGACCUCAUCAGCAGGCUGACUAGAAGGGAGGGGGUCGAGUCCCGGAGUGGGGGACAGGGCCAGGAAAGGUCCGUGAGGGCCCUAGGAACUGCGCAGCCCACCCCAUCCCGCAACCACUCUCAAGUCAGGUACCGAAGCUGCGCUGCGCAAGCGGAAUUCCUAGGACUGCCGCGGAAGAGAGGGAGCUCUCCGUGCGCGCCCUGCGUGCCCCGCUGUCCAGAUGGGUCUCCAGCGGCGAGCGCGGCCCCUAGUGGACCCGAGCGCACUUCGGCAGGCGAGCAGCGAGGACACCCUCACUGUGGAGCGGCUGGAGAAGAUUGCAGAGGAUACCCGCAAACGGAGAUCGGUUGGCGUGCAGCACGAACCGUGGCGCGGAGCCGAGCUGCUUUCCGCUGGGCUCAGCGCCUGGGCCCUGCACUCAUUUGCUCGCUGGAGCUCUCCCCUUCGCCGGGCGCGAUCUGCAGCGCGGGCCGCCCCAAACUGCUUUAUAAGGCGCGGGCAGCCUCUUUGAUCCGCCCACGUCAGCGCGCCGAACCCCACCGGGUGGCUCCGGCGGCGCGCUGGGGGCGGGGGCGGGGUCCCUGCGGAUGCUAGGGACUCGCGCCGCCGCCGGCGGCUCGAAAAGACUUCGCGGCCCGUUGAGGUACAAAAGGGGUCUUGCUCAUCACAGCUAGCGUUUACUAAGCGUGACCGCUGCGUGCCUACUGAGUGCCAGCCGAGCGCCGGGCCCAGGUAAGGCCCAUCUCCAAUCCUCGCAGAAACCCGGCAAAGGAACUUCGACCCCAGACAAAGUCCAUCUUAGGUCCCAGUCUGGAACUCCAGCAUCACUAAGGUGCUCAUCUCGCAGCUUGGCUGCUGAUGACGUCCGCGGUCUUGAGACUCUGGCUGGUGUCCAGGUCCUGGUCAUCUCUUUAGGCCUCUGGAACCAGUUAAAUGAUCCUGCUCUCCCAGGAGAAAAGAGGCGCCAUGACUCUGCUCUGCAAGGGUGUUUUAAACCAAUACCAGAAUGUGCUCAAGGAUAAUCUAGCUCAUUAGUAGAAAGGAAAAUGGACUUGUCUCCCCCCCCCCCCAUGCUCUUUUCCUCAUUCUUUCCAGCUGCCCAAUACCUGGCCACAGGUACCUCCACAUGCAACACACACCUGGGCCUACAAUGUCUAUAGCAAACUCCCAGCCAAACAAAUACUACCCCAGUUCUACAGCCAGUCCCUCUUUCCACACAGGGCUGAGACACAUUACCACAAAUGGUUACAGGUUCACUACGUGGGAGAUGCUUAGACACAUCAUAUGCCCACACACACUCAGGAGCACACAGGUGUGAAGUGGCUGUACUCAUGUCAUUAGGAUGAGGCUGAAUCUAUAGACCACCCCCAACCAGUUCAGGCACAAACACAAGUUUCCACACAUGCAGUCAGAACUCACACAUAGCUCUCAAGCAUGCAGAACUAAAUGCACACCUACUCCUGCACACAGUCAUGGGGAUAUCCUUGUGAACACAUCCCCAUCUCCCAUCCCAGAGCACUGGGGUCAAUCUCAUUACAAAAGAAGUGGGAAAAUAGUGGGGCUUUGGGUGGCGUAUUUAGGAGGUAAAGGAGGA
ensembl:lncRNA